rnacentral:rRNA from 1 species
AUUGAACGCUGGCGGCAGGCCUAACACAUGCAAGUCGAGCGAGCGGCGGACGGGUGAGUAAUGUAUGGGGACUGCCCGAUAGAGGGGGAUAACUACUGGAAACGGUGGCUAAUCCCGCAUACUAUCGGAUAACCCAUAUGGGAUUAGCUAGUGGGUAAGGUACUGGCUUACCUAGGCGACGAUCCCUAGCUGGGCUGAGAGGAUGAUCAGUCACACUGGGACUGAGACACGGCCAAGACUCCUACGGAGGCAGCAGUGGGGAAGAUUGCAGAAUGGGCGCAAGCCUGAUGCAGCCAUGCCGAGGGUAUGAAGAAGGCCCUAGGGUUGUAAAGUACUUUCAGUCGGGAGGCGUUACCGACAGAAGAAGCACCGGCUAACUCCGUGCCAGCAGCCGCGGUAAUUC